UGCGCUGCACACGGGAGCCCGGGCGCGGCGUGAGACGGCGGACGACCACCGCCGACCGUUCAACCUGAUCCGGUUCGUACCGGCGGAGGGAGCUGCCCGAUGCUCGCUG
rnacentral:ncRNA from 1 species